rnacentral:rRNA from 1 species
ACGGGUGAGUAACGCGUAGGAAUCUGCCUUGAAGAGGGGGACAACCCGAGGAAACUCGGGCUAAUACCGCAUGAUAUCGAAAGAUUAAAGUUGCCCCGCACUAGUUGCGGGGUGACACUUCAAGAGGAGCCUGCGUCCGAUUAGCUAGUUGGUUAGGUAAAGGCUGACCAAGGCGAUGAUCGGUAACUGGUCUGAGAGGACGACCAGUCACACUGGGACUGAGACACGGCCCAGACUCCUACGGGAGGCAGCAGUGGGGAAUAUUGGACAAUGGGGGCAACCCUGAUCCAGCAAUGCCGCGUGUGUGAAGAAGGCCUUCGGGUUGUAAAGCACUUUAGGAUGUGAAGAAGUUGUGGGGUUUAAGAGAUCCUAUAAUUGACGGUAGCAUCAGAAUAAGCACCGGCUAACUCUGUGCCAGCAGCCGCGGUAAUACAGAGGGUGCAAGCGUUAAUCGGAGUUACUGGGCGUAAAGGGCGCGUAGGUUGUUGUUUAAGAUGUUUGUGAAAUCCCCGGGCUUAACCUGGGAACUGCAAGCAAGACUGGACAGCUGGAGUACUGUAGAGGGUAGUGGAAUUUC